rnacentral:rRNA from 1 species
CGCGUAGGCGGCUUAGCAAGUCAUAGGUGAAAUACCAAGGCUUAACCUUGGAACUGCUUGUGAAACUACUAAGCUAGAGGUAAGGUGGAGAAAACGGAAUUCCCCAUGUAGCGGUGAAAUGCGUAGAUAUGGGGAGGAACACCGGUAGUGAAAGCGGUUUUCUAACUUUUACCUGACGCUGAGGCGCGAAAGCGAGGGGAGCAAACAGGAUUAGAUACCCUGGUAGUCC